rnacentral:lncRNA from 1 species
UGUUGCCCAGCUAUGCAACCCAAGAGGGGGGGGUGAAUUGGGUUUCUAAAAAUUUUAAACCCAACAAAUAACUUAUGAAGAACAAAAUAAUGGCUUUAAAUCAAUAUUAAUUACCUAAAGUAGUAUUGCAAGGAUAUAAUAAAGAAAUAAGAUAAAGCGAUAAAGCACACCACAAACACAAGGAUUUAUAGUGGUUCGGUGCUAACCUUGCACCUACGUCCACUCCCCAAGAUCCCACUUGGGAAUUUUAAUCCACUAUCCUUUGUAUUCAACCUGAAUACAAAACGUCGGAAACUCCGACACUAGCUAUCCCAAGCUAGAAUACAAGA